rnacentral:misc_RNA from 1 species
UGAAAAACAGCAAACUUACAUUACUCAUGGACAUUAUCUAACAAGCGAGAGGUCUUGGUGCAAAAGCUCAAGUUGUUCUCUGCCUCAGCCAUUUGCUCUUCCAAGUACUCCUUCGAGGUAUGUUCAGCACAACAGAUUUGUUUAUUUCUGCAGAAGUUACAUGCAAGAAAGGGCCAUUGUUUGAAUUAUAGCUCACGCACUAAAGCUAAGUUUAUAAAAUCUUAGAAAAAUUACAGAAAAUAGUUUUCAUAAUAGAAUGUAAUGCACUUCCAUUUCUAUGUACUCAAUAUUGGUGACUAAGAUUCUAAAAUGUAUGCAAGUAUUUUAUGUGGUUACUCAAAGUACAGUUGGGAGACGGUUGGUGCUGAUAACUCAUCACUAACUGUCUCCCUCUAUGCAAAUUUCUCUUUGAUCUUUAUCACCAUGGCCUCCUUCCCUACAUUUCUAAUAAUCUCUCAAGAAUUUUCGAGUAAUUGUUUCAUCAGAUUUCUCCAUGUUCUUGUCUCUUUAACAAUGCGAUCCUAGAUAUUAUCACAAAGCUUCCAUCUUUCCUCCUUAACAGACUGACUUAUCAUUUUCUAUGUUGUUUGGAUCUUAUGUUCAACCAAGUGAGAGGACUCCUAGCGUCAUAUAUAAUAAUCAAGUGGGCGAAGAACUUCAAGAGGGUAGGAGAAAAACAAAUUUUAAAACAAAUGUUUGAGUGAAAAUAAGACUUGUAUUAAUUGUACCAAGCAUCCUUGACCAUGCUUAAGUCUAUCUGCGUACAAGUUUUUCUUGAAUACACACACACACACUCAACAUCAUGUACACAGCAAUAGUUAUUUUCAGAAAAUGAACAAAAAAAAUCAUGACGUCCAUGGAUGAUGUCAUUGUCAAACCUACAAUUUGAAAUGCAUGACCAAAGGAAAUCACUGUCUUAGUAUUCCUGAUUUGAUAAGGU